UACGGGGGGGCAAGGCGUUGUUCGGAAUUACUGGGCGUAAAGGGUUCGUAGGUGCCAACUAAGUCAGACGUGAAAUCCCUCGGCUCAACCGGGGGAACUGCCGUCUGAUACUGGUUGGCUUGAGUGCAGGAGAGGACGCGGAAGUUCCAGGUGUAGCGGUGAAAUGCGUAGAUAUCUGGAGGAACACCGGUGGCGAAGGCGGGCGUUCUGGACUGGCAACUGACACUGAGGAACGAAAGCCAGGGAGGCAAACGGG
rnacentral:rRNA from 1 species